ensembl:lncRNA
GACUCUGCGCCACGGGAGAGGGACCAUCUAUAAACAUGACUCAUUCUGACGAAAUGAAAGUAAUGAAGGGAGUGAAACAAAUUCAGAAAGACGUUAUUUUGUGCUACAGAGAUAAAGGUUUCAACUACCAACCUGUAAAAUUUGGAGUCACUGCCUGUAAAGGAUUUAUGAAUGGCCUCUGUUCCUGGCUCUACAGGCAAGUGGUGCUUUAGGGAACCAAGAAGCAGCCAAGCUGUAAAGGCAGAAAUGUGCUUCCUCUCUUUCUAAAGCAUGAAGAGGGAAGAAAACACCAACAUCAAGAAUGUUUAUGCUGGAGGCUUUGAAAG